rnacentral:lncRNA from 1 species
GAACAGACCUGGGUGUAUCUAUGUAUUUGGGAGCAUAAUGGAAAACUAUUUAACUGCCGAAUUCCCAUACAAUACCUGAGAGUUGCAGAAGUUGCUGGGGAGGCCAUACCAGUGGGAUGUGGAAAAGAUAGCUUUGACUACGUUGGAAGCGCCGAGAGCCAGAGGUUCCGACUUCCUUGCCAAGAGAGAAGAGAGGGAAAUCGCCUGACACUGUUUCAGCCUAUUCGAUGUGCUGCUGGGCAUCAUUCAGUAAAGGAAACACCUUUCUGAUCUGAUAUCGAAGAGUAUGGUGGAUGUGCUUCUAAUGACAAUCUAGUGGUGGGGGAAGCAGCCGAGAGAAGUCGGUAGCCCAGUUUUCCAGUCAUGCCAAGACAGGAAGAGGAGGACUAGCUACCGAGAUUCCCUUGAGAGUGGAGAAAGAGGAAGAGAAUCCUGAUGGGAGAAUCCUGAUGGGAGGAUUAGCCCAACCCCAAGAUCACUAUAUGGGUAUUGUAAUUGGGGAAACAGAAAGCUGACAGAAGAUUAAAGCUUUGUGUGAAAUAAAGGGUCUUUCUGAUCCGUCCUGAGUAGGAGG